rnacentral:rRNA from 1 species
UGGGGAAUAUUGCACAAUGGGGGAAACCCUUAUGCAGCGACGCCGCGUGAGCGAAGAAGGUUUUCGAAUCGUAAAGCUCUGUCCUAUGAGAAGAUAAUGACGGUAUCAUAGGAGGAAGCCCCGGCUAAAUACGUGCCAGCAGCCGCGGUAAUACGUAUGGGGCGAGCGUUGUCCGGAAUUAUUGGGCGUAAAGGGUACGUAGGCGGUCUAUUAAGUCAGGUGUGAAAGCGUGAGGCUUAACCUCAUUAAGCACUUGAAACUGAUAGACUUGAGUGAAGGAGAGGAAAGUGGAAUUCCUAGUGUAGCGGUGAAAUGCGUAGAUAUUAGGAGGAAUACCGGUGGCGAAGGCGACUUUCUGGACUUUUACUGACGCUCAGGUACGAAAGCGUGGGGAGCAAACAGG